rnacentral:lncRNA from 1 species
AUCGUUCCAGUUCCCAUGUGAAAUGUAUACGUUUUGUGGCCUGUCAUACUAUUUUCAGAGAUUUUCUGAGCACUCUGAGAGCAAAUGGGGGCAUCCCAACUCCCCUGGACGACGUGGUUAUCAUAGUUAUCACAGAAAGAUCUGGAGAAAGACCCUCUACAACGCAACAGCGGAUGGUGGAUUCCAGCUGCGUACACUUUGGACCUCGGCGGCUGAUGUGGUGGGGUUUUGUCGGGCCGUGCGUCGAUUCGUGCCCUGGCUGCGAACGGCAGUAGGAGCAGCUGUUUCUCUACUACGCAUUGUUGGUGACACACAGCACCCUCGGAAAACUGAGAAGAGAAGGCAAGAGGAGUCGAUGCUGACACAAAGUUGUACUGGUCCCUACACUUGGGAAACACGUGGAAAAUGUGAAUAUAACCUGUGUCAUGGCAUUCUCACAAAGGUCUUGUGAAUUUGAUUGAAUCAGUGUCUGUCCCCCCCAGGACAGAUUUUCCCCACACCCUGUUGCUAAAUGUGCAAAUGUGUGUUUUUCACAUAGUGUCGUAUGGCUCUGGGUUUUAUGUUGCAUUUAUUUCCAAAACGUUGUGCGUUUGCAAUGUUGUUGCCAGGUCUCUAUUGAAAGGGAGAUUGUUGAUCUCACUGAGACAAACCUGAUUGAAGAUGCAGUUUUGCAAUGAACAAGAUAAUUAAAAAAGCUCCCAUUUUGGGCUGCAUGUGUAAUAUGUUGUUUAAGUAGAGUCACCGUCAUCCCUCAGUUAGCAAUGAAAUGACAACUGAACGCAAGUAGUUUUGAUGAGAAGUUCAAAAUCGAAUGAAAAAAGAGUCAAAAGUUGUGUCUCCCACC